AGAGUUUGAUCCUGGCUCAGGACGAACGCUGGCGGCGUGCUUAACACAUGCAAGUCGAACGGGCAUAUCUUCUUCGGAGGGUGUGUUAGUGGCGAACGGGUGAGUAACACGUGGGUAAUCUGCCUUGCACUCUGGGAUAAGCUUGGGAAACUGGGUCUAAUACCGGAUAAGACUCUUCGCCGCAUGGUGGGGGGUGGAAAGCUUUUGCGGUGUGAGAUGGGCCCGCGGCCUAUCAGCUUGACGGUGGGGUGAUGGCCUACCGUGGCGACGACGGGUAGCCGGCCUGAGAGGGCGACCGGCCACACUGGGACUGAGACACGGCCCAGACUCCUACGGGAGGCAGCAGUGGGGAAUAUUGCACAAUGGGCGGAAGCCUGAUGCAGCGACGCCGCGUGAGGGAUGACGGCCUUCAGGUUGUAAACCUCUUUCGCACGGGACGAAGCGAGAGUGACGGUACCGUGAGAAGAAGCACCGGCUAACUACGUGCCAGCAGCCGCGGUAAUACGUAGGGUGCGAGCGUUGUCCGGAAUUAUUGGGCGUAAAGAGCUCGUAGGCGGUUUGUUGCGUCUAUCGUGAAAACCUGCGGCUUAACUGUGGGCUUGCGGUGGAUACGGGCAGACUUGAGUUCGGUAGGGGAGACUGGAAUUCCUGGUGUAGCGGUGAAAUGCGCGAUAUCAGGAGGAACACCGGUGGCGAAGGCGGGUCUCUGGGCCGAUACUGACGCUGAGGAACGAAAGCUAGGGGAGCAAACAGGAUUAGAUACCCUAGUAGUCC
rnacentral:rRNA from 1 species